rnacentral:rRNA from 1 species
GACGAACGCUGGCGGCGUGCUUAACACAUGCAAGUCGAACGGAAAGGCCCUGCUUGCAGGGUACUCGAGUGGCGAACGGGUGAGUAACACGUGGGUGAUCUGCCCUGCACUUCGGGAUAAGCCUGGGAAACUGGGUCUAAUACCGGAUAGGAGCCAUUUUUAGUGUGAUGGUUGGAAAGUUUUUUCGGUGUAGGAUGAGCUCGCGGCCUAUCAGCUUGUUGGUGGGGUAAUGGCCUACCAAGGCGGCGACGGGUAGCCGGCCUGAGAGGGUGGACGGCCACAUUGGGACUGAGAUACGGCGCAGACUCCUACGGGAGGCAGCAGUGGGGAAUAUUGCACAAGGGGCGCAAGCCUGAUGCAGCGACGCCGCGGGGGGGAUGACGGCCUUCGGGUUGUAAACUCCUUUCGCUAGGGACGAAGCUUUUUGUGACGGUACCUAGAUAAGAAGCACCGGCUAACUACGUG